ensembl:ncRNA mir-2496 mir-2496 stem loop
GUGCGCCGGUGUGCGUGUGUGAGAGGCCAUCGUAAAAGCCUUGUUUGCGUGCGGAAUUUAACUGUUUUCUCGCCGUCUGCGAAUUGCGGGGCACUCACACACGCAUAUUCAGCCGCAC